rnacentral:lncRNA from 1 species
CUUCGGACUAAGGCGAGACAGAGAUGACGUUUGAUGUCUCUUCUGAGAUCUUUGGGGAGGUUGGAAACAAGAUUCUCUUCAUCGACUCCACGCGUCUCCAACCACUUGUACUGGUCGUAUCUUCUGACUCGUUCCCUUAGCUCAGGUGGAAGCAUUCGAUGGUGCAUCCACUGUUCUGAGUCGCGUCUUUUGACUCGCAUUUCUUCUAACCGGAUAGUAAGCGAUUGAAGAUAAGUCUGUCCACAAGAUUUGUCACAGAUCAUUUACAUUGUUUCUCUUCAUAAUAAUUAAAAACAAAACAAGCUCUUGUCUUUUUUAAUUACCUGCAUGUUUCCAAUGAGGAGGGCAAAGAGUAGAAGUCCAGCAAUAGCAAGUACUAUGGAGAAUAUAACCUCUCCAGGGUAUGUGCUAGUUUCAAGCCCUUGCCCAAGCGUGCUGCAAUUUCACAAGACUCUUGAGGUUAAUAAAUAGCGAAAAAGACUAGUUCAAGGCAGGAUGUGAAAAUUUGGAGGCUAAAAAUAUUUAUAACAUUAAAUUAAAAAAAUCAAUAGUAUGGAACUAUAUCUAUGUAUAUAACCUCCAAAAAUUUUGGGAACCAAAGCCAAUGUUUCAUUGGGCUGUGCCAAGAUCCGGUCAUGGAAUCGGUUUAGGCGGCAAAUUGGUCCUAACCGAAUUUUUUUCUUGAAAUCCAAUUUAUACAAGUCAAACCGGUUUAAACCCUUCUAAAUCGGUUUAAACACUUCUAAACCAGUUUAAAUUUGUUAAAUUAAGUAAUAAUGUUAGUACAUAUGCAUAAAUUUUUCUAAUUUCUUUUGUUUGUAUAUUUAGUUUUGAUAAUUCAUCAAAAUAAUUUUAUAAUUAAACCUAAAAACUAAAAUAUCUUAUAUAAAAUGUAAAAUAUAUAGAAAACAAAUCAAUAAUUUGUUAACCGCCUAGUUGCUAGUACCUAUACCUAUAUAACGCCUAGUUACCACUUAGCUAUUUCUUGAACAUACUUUUCGCCAUUACCUAAGAUUUUGUAGUCCCCACCACAAGCAGAAGAAGUACUUUGAGACGAACUUUUUAGAUGAGACAAUGCCAGAGGAGAGAGCUCUCAAGUAGAUCCCAAAAUCAAAGGGAGGCUCUUCGCCUUCAGUGACAUUGACAGGACAACGCAGCUGAAGAAACGGAUCUUUGACAUCGUCCCAAGCAUCAUAACCUUUCAUGUUUUGGUUACCGCAAAACAAAAAGUUUCUAGUACAGUUGUCGUUAUCUUUGCACGCCUUACUCCAGCAAUCGUUAUUGCGUUCUAAGGCAAGCAAAUACCACAACGCUCCAACAAUCUGCAUUUUUACACACAAAAACUCUUUAUGAAAACGUAAGCAAACAAAAGAAACGGUUGUAAUGGGUUUAGUACUUACAUGACUUGCAAGCAUGUAAAGUAGUAAGUAGUAAGCUGCACCAGCCCAAGCGGUUUCGGCGAACACUCCUGCGGUUCUCUUCAGCUCUGAACUUAAAGGAUACAUACGAAGAAACCGCGGAAUGUAUUGGACUAACACGAUGUAUCUAAGUGCUUGUUUUGUUGCCAGAACGUUCGCACCUCUAGAACUGUAGAGGAACCUCCAUACUAUAAUCUGAAAUGAUGUAUGAAGUAAACAUAAACAAAGUAACUGAGAGAAAGGGCCGGCUCAAUAUUUAUUUGGGCUCCUAGGCAAAAAAGUUUUAAUCUCCUAAUAUUUAUGUUUAUUUUAAAUUAAAAUAUAUUUAAAAUUUUUAUCAUCAAUAUUUUUAUAAAAUUUGGAAUGAAAAGGAAUACAUAAAAAAUAUUUUAGGGUCUUUUUUCAACCAAAUUUAGUAAAUAUUCAGAUUUUUCUAUAUAAAAAUAUGUAUAUAUACAAAAUACUGAGUCCCUUAAUUAUCAAGAUACAUGAGGACACGGAUUUGAACUCGGGGCGGGGUGGUUGCACCCUUUGUCUCCCUAUGUUAGCCGGCUUUAGAGUUAUGUUAUGAUGAUGUUGUUAUACCUGUGGAACGGGAAGCACAGAGAGCAAGUCUAUGAUGAAGUACUGUUGCAGAUACCGUUUAGCUAUCUGCGCAGGGUCAAUCACAAGCUCUCCACGACCAAAAACACGCGACGAAGGAGCGACGUAAGCUGUUCUAAACCUCAAAGCCAUGUGAAAGAGAUAAAAAGAAUCUAUAACCGUCCUCAGCGUGGUGGUCACAAUCGCUAGCUUCCGGUCUAUACCAACGCAUUUGGCUUUAUCGUUGAUGAAGGGGAGAAACAAGAAGAGCGGGUCCACGGAUACAGCGAGGAUGCAAGAAGCGACGAAGAGCUUGUUGCAGAGGAGAAGGAACUUGUCUUGCGGAUCAAAGAUCUUCUUCUCGGAAACUUCGAGAUCUUCUGGGAAUACGGCGCGGGAGACACCGAGUCCAGCCUCUCGUCCAUGUUCUCAAACAAUGGAACCUAAAGAAAAUUAAAUUAGAAAAAGACUUUCAAGAAGAUAUGAUAUUAAGACAGGAGGCAAGAGUACAUACUCUUCGGACUAAGGCGAGACAGAGAUGACGUUUGAUGUCUCUUCUGAGAUCUUUGGGGAGGUUGGAAACAAGAUUCUCUUCAUCGACUCCACGCGUCUCCAACCACUUGUACUGGUCGUAUCUUCUGACUCGUUCCCUUAGCUCAGGUGGAAGCAUUCGAUGGUGCAUCCACUGUUCUGAGUCGCGUCUUUUGACUCGCAUUUCUUC